rnacentral:rRNA from 1 species
GGUUAAGCGACUAAGCGUACACGGUGGAUGCCCUGGCAGUCAGAGGCGAUGAAGGACGUGCUAAUCUGCGAUAAGCGUCGGUAAGGUGAUAUGAACCGUUAUAACCGGCGAUUUCCGAAUGGGGAAACCCAGUGUGUUUCGACACACUAUCAUUAACUGAAUCCAUAGGUUAAUGAGGCGAACCGGGGGAACUGAAACAUCUAAGUACCCCGAGGAAAAGAAAUCAACCGAGAUUCCCCCAGUAGCGGCGAGCGAACGGGGAGCAGCCCAGAGCCUGAAUCAGUGUGUGUGUUAGUGGAAGCGUCUGGAAAGGCGCGCGAUACAGGGUGACAGCCCCGUACACAAAAAUGCACAUGCUGUGAGCUCGAUGAGUAGGGCGGGACACGUGGUAUCCUGUCUGAAUAUGGGGGGACCAUCCUCCAAGGCUAAAUACUCCUGACUGACCGAUAGUGAACCAGUACCGUGAGGGAAAGGCGAAAAGAACCCCGGCGAGGGGAGUGAAAAAGAACCUGAAACCGUGUACGUACAAGCAGUGGGAGCACGCUUAGGCGUGUGACUGCGUACCUUUUGUAUAAUGGGUCAGCGACUUAUAUUCUGUAGCAAGGUUAACCGAAUAGGGGAGCCGAAGGGAAACCGAGUCUUAACUGGGCGUUAAGUUGCAGGGUAUAGACCCGAAACCCGGUGAUCUAGCCAUGGGCAGGUUGAAGGUUGGGUAACACUAACUGGAGGACCGAACCGACUAAUGUUGAAAAAUUAGCGGAUGACUUGUGGCUGGGGGUGAAAGGCCAAUCAAACCGGGAGAUAGCUGGUUCUCCCCGAAAGCUAUUUAGGUAGCGCCUCGUGAACUCAUCUCCGGGGGUAGAGCACUGUUUCGGCAAGGGGGUCAUCCCGACUUACCAACCCGAUGCAAACUGCGAAUACCGGAGAAUGUUAUCACGGGAGACACACGGCGGGUGCUAACGUCCGUCGUGAAGAGGGAAACAACCCAGACCGCCAGCUAAGGUCCCAAAGUCAUGGUUAAGUGGGAAACGAUGUGGGAAGGCCCAGACAGCCAGGAUGUUGGCUUAGAAGCAGCCAUCAUUUAAAGAAAGCGUAAUAGCUCACUGGUCGAGUCGGCCUGCGCGGAAGAUGUAACGGGGCUAAACCAUGCACCGAAGCUGCGGCAGCGACGCUUAUGCGUUGUUGGGUAGGGGAGCGUUCUGUAAGCCUGUGAAGGUGUGCUGUGAGGCAUGCUGGAGGUAUCAGAAGUGCGAAUGCUGACAUAAGUAACGAUAAAGCGGGUGAAAAGCCCGCUCGCCGGAAGACCAAGGGUUCCUGUCCAACGUUAAUCGGGGCAGGGUGAGUCGACCCCUAAGGCGAGGCCGAAAGGCGUAGUCGAUGGGAAACAGGUUAAUAUUCCUGUACUUGGUGUUACUGCGAAGGGGGGACGGAGAAGGCUAUGUUGGCCGGGCGACGGUUGUCCCGGUUUAAGCGUGUAGGCUGGUUUUCCAGGCAAAUCCGGAAAAUCAAGGCUGAGGCGUGAUGACGAGGCACUACGGUGCUGAAGCAACAAAUGCCCUGCUUCCAGGAAAAGCCUCUAAGCAUCAGGUAACAUCAAAUCGUACCCCAAACCGACACAGGUGGUCAGGUAGAGAAUACCAAGGCGCUUGAGAGAACUCGGGUGAAGGAACUAGGCAAAAUGGUGCCGUAACUUCGGGAGAAGGCACGCUGAUAUGUAGGUGAAGCGACUUGCUCGUGGAGCUGAAAUCAGUCGAAGAUACCAGCUGGCUGCAACUGUUUAUUAAAAACACAGCACUGUGCAAACACGAAAGUGGACGUAUACGGUGUGACGCCUGCCCGGUGCCGGAAGGUUAAUUGAUGGGGUUAGCGCAAGCGAAGCUCUUGAUCGAAGCCCCGGUAAACGGCGGCCGUAACUAUAACGGUCCUAAGGUAGCGAAAUUCCUUGUCGGGUAAGUUCCGACCUGCACGAAUGGCGUAAUGAUGGCCAGGCUGUCUCCACCCGAGACUCAGUGAAAUUGAACUCGCUGUGAAGAUGCAGUGUACCCGCGGCAAGACGGAAAGACCCCGUGAACCUUUACUAUAGCUUGACACUGAACAUUGAGCCUUGAUGUGUAGGAUAGGUGGGAGGCUUUGAAGUGUGGACGCCAGUCUGCAUGGAGCCGACCUUGAAAUACCACCCUUUAAUGUUUGAUGUUCUAACGUUGACCCGUAAUCCGGGUUGCGGACAGUGUCUGGUGGGUAGUUUGACUGGGGCGGUCUCCUCCUAAAGAGUAACGGAGGAGCACGAAGGUUGGCUAAUCCUGGUCGGACAUCAGGAGGUUAGUGCAAUGGCAUAAGCCAGCUUGACUGCGAGCGUGACGGCGCGAGCAGGUGCGAAAGCAGGUCAUAGUGAUCCGGUGGUUCUGAAUGGAAGGGCCAUCGCUCAACGGAUAAAAGGUACUCCGGGGAUAACAGGCUGAUACCGCCCAAGAGUUCAUAUCGACGGCGGUGUUUGGCACCUCGAUGUCGGCUCAUCACAUCCUGGGGCUGAAGUAGGUCCCAAGGGUAUGGCUGUUCGCCAUUUAAAGUGGUACGCGAGCUGGGUUUAGAACGUCGUGAGACAGUUCGGUCCCUAUCUGCCGUGGGCGCUGGAGAACUGAGGGGGGCUGCUCCUAGUACGAGAGGACCGGAGUGGACGCAUCACUGGUGUUCGGGUUGUCAUGCCAAUGGCACUGCCCGGUAGCUAAAUGCGGAAGAGAUAAGUGCUGAAAGCAUCUAAGCACGAAACUUGCCCCGAGAUGAGUUCUCCCUGACCCUUUAAGGGUCCUGAAGGAACGUUGAAGACGACGACGUUGAUAGGCCGGGUGUGUAAGCGCAGCGAUGCGUUGAGCUAACCGGUACUAAUGAACCGUGAGGCUUAACCUU